rnacentral:lncRNA from 1 species
GUGAUUUUAUUUCUUAGAAGUCAAGUAAAAAAAAUUACUGGCCAACAUCUAAAAGAGCUUUUUUCUAUUUUAUAGUACAUAUGUGCAAUAGCAAACAGAAGUCUUGCAGUAAAGUGAGUUUCCUAAGAAGUGAGAAUGUAACAUAUAGAGGAGUCACAGUGCAUAAAGCACAAUAAGUAUAAAUCAGCCACAAAGCUCAAGGUCUGCAUAGAAAUUGUUUAUAGUAACCCUGCUAUAAAGCCAACAAAAAAGAAACAGUUUUAAUUUAUAAGACAUUUAAGUUAAUGUUGUUAUACAGGGUCAUUUAACUAAGAGUCACAGCUUCAAGGUAUACUGUUAGUCUGUACUAUGUAUUUACAAUUUACUUGCAAGAAAUAUAAAAUGUCCUCUGUAUCUGCAGGAUCAAGAGGAUAUAUAGCACUAUGAGAUACAUGUCCUGAAAGUUGUAAAAGAAAGCUAUCUUCUACCUGAAGUUGAGAUUUAGAACAUAGGCUACAUUUACAGACAUUUUUACUUUUAGAAUUUGGCUGAAUAUUCCAGAAUUGAUUGUACAGAAGUGAGGGAAACAAGACAUUGAAAUAUUUCCCUGCAAAGAAAAACUGGAGAGCAGUGUACCUUAAACCUAAAUAAUAAAAGCUU